CCUGUCAGCCUCCUGAUCCUCUGAAGGGGCAGUCUACGCUAUUCCUAUAUGUAAAGCAGCUUCCAACUGGGAGAGGUUCUGUACGGGAGGAUCCUUUGUUGCACAAUCAUGUCCCAGAUAUGCUCCAAAGGGUUAAGAUUGGGGUUCAUUCAAUCCUGAGAUGUCAGAGGGUGCCUAACUAAGUUCUUCGUGUAUAUUUAGGAUGUGUAAAUGAACAGACAACUACAGAUUAAUUUACAGUUUCAUAUUGUAUAUGAUGACUUGCAUAAUAAAAACCUAAACCUGC